UGGCGGCGUGCCUAAUACAUGCAAGUCGAGCGGAUUGAUGGGAGCUUGCUCCCUGAUAUCAGCGGCGGACGGGUGAGUAACACGUGGGUAACCUGCCUGUAAGACUGGGAUAACUCCGGGAAACCGGGGCUAAUACCGGAUAACUCAUUUCCUCGCAUGAGGAAAUGUUGAAAGGUGGCUUUUAGCUAUCACUUACAGAUGGACCCGCGGCGCAUUAGCUAGUUGGUGAGGUAACGGCUCACCAAGGCGACGAUGCGUAGCCGACCUGAGAGGGUGAUCGGCCACACUGGGACUGAGACACGGCCCAGACUCCUACGGGAGGCAGCAGUAGGGAAUCUUCCGCAAUGGACGAAAGUCUGACGGAGCAACGCCGCGUGAGUGAUGAAGGUUUUCGGAUCGUAAAGCUCUGUUGUUAGGGAAGAACAAGUGCCGUUCGAAUAGGGCGGCACCUUGACGGUACCUAACCAGAAAGCCACGGCUAACUACG
rnacentral:rRNA from 1 species